rnacentral:rRNA from 1 species
CCUACGGGUGGCAGCAGUGAGGAAUAUUGGACAAUGGGCGGAAGCCUGAACCAGCCAAGUCGCGUGAGUGAUUAAGGCCCUAUGGGUCGUAAACCUCUUUUGUCAGGGAGCAAGGUCGUCCACGUGUGGGAGUAUGGAGAGUACCUGAAGAAACAGCAUCGGCUAACUCCGUGCCAGCAGCCGCGGUAAUACGGAGGAUGCGAGCGUUAUCCGGAUUUAUUGGGUGUAAAGGGUGCGUAGGCGGGACCUUAAGUCCGCGGUAAAAUUGCGGUGCUCAACGCCGUAGAGCCGUUGAAACUGGGGCUCUUGAGUGAGCGAGAAGUAUGCGGAAUGCGUGGUGUAGCGGUGAAAUGCAUAGAUAUCACGCAGAACCCCGAUUGCGAAGGCAGCAUACCGGCGCUCAACUGACGCUGAGGCACGAAAGUGCGGGUAUCGAACAGGAUUAGAUACCCGGGUAGUC